UGGGGAAUAUUGGACAAUGGGCGAAAGCCUGAUCCAGCCAUGCCGCGUGUGUGAAGACGGUCUUCGGAUUGUAAAGCACUUUAAGUUGGGAGGAAGGGCAUUAACCUAAUACGUUAGUGUUUUGACGUUACCGACAGAAUAAGCACCGGCUAACUCUGUGCCAGCAGCCGCGGUAAUACAGAGGGUGCAAGCGUUAAACGGAAUUACUGGGCGUAAAGCGCGCGUAGGUGGUUUGUUAAGUUGGAUGUGAAAUCCCCGGGCUCAACCUGGGAACUGCAUUCAAAACUGACUGACUAGAGUAUGGUAGAGGGUGGUGGAAUUUCCUGUGUAGCGGUGAAAUGCGUAGAUAUAGGAAGGAACACCAGUGGCGAAGGCGACCACCUGGACUAAUACUGACACUGAGGUGCGAAAGCGUGGGGAGCAAACA
rnacentral:rRNA from 1 species